GAUGAACGCUGGCGGCGUGCCUAAUACAUGCAAGUAGAGCGCUGAAGGAAGGAGCUUGCUCUUUCCGGAUGAGUUGCGAACGGGUGAGUAACGCGUAGGUAACCUGCCUGGUAGCGGGGGAUAACUAUUGGAAACGAUAGCUAAUACCGCAUAACAGUAGAUAUUGCAUGAUAUCUGCUUGAAAGGUGCAAUUGCAUCACUACCAGAUGGACCUGCGUUGUAUUAGCUAGUUGGUGAGGUAACGGCUCACCAAGGCGACGAUACAUAGCCGACCUGAGAGGGUGAUCGGCCACACUGGGACUGAGACACGGCCCAGACUCCUACGGGAGGCAACAGUAGGGAAUCUUCGGCAAUGGACGGAAGUCUGACCGAGCAACGCCGCGUGAGUGAAGAAGGUUUUCGGAUCGUAAAGCUCUGUUGUAAGAGAAGACACGAGUGUGAGAGUGGAAAGUUCACACUGUGACG
rnacentral:rRNA from 1 species